rnacentral:rRNA from 1 species
ACGCUGGCGGCGUGCUUAACACAUGCAAGUCGAACGGAAAGGCCCCCACCUUGGUGGGGGUGCUCGAGUGGCGAACGGGUGAGUAACACGUGGGUGAUCUGCCCUGUACUUCGGGAUAAGCUUGGGAAACUGGGUCUAAUACCGGAUAGGACCAUUGGUUUAGUGUCUCAUGGUGGAAAGAUUAUUGUUUUGGUGCAGGAUGAGCUCGCGGCCUAUCAGCUUGUUGGUGGGGUAAUGGCCUACCAAGGCGUCGACGGGUAGCCGGCCUGAGAGGGUGGACGGCCACAUUGGGACUGAGAUACGGCCCAGACUCCUACGGGAGGCAGCAGUGGGGAAUAUUGCACAAUGGGCGCAAGCCUGAUGCAGCGACGCCGCGUGGGGGAUGACGGCCUUCGGGUUGUAAACUCCUUUCGUUAGGGACGAAGCCACACCUUUUUUUGGGUGUGGUGACGGUACCUUUGUUAAGAAGCACCGGCUAACUAC